rnacentral:rRNA from 1 species
AUCCUGGCUCAGGACGAACGCUGGCGGCGUGCCUAAUACAUGCAAGUCGAGCGGACAGAAGGGAGCUUGCUCCCGGAUGUUAGCGGCGGACGGGUGAGUAACACGUGGGUAACCUGCCUGUAAGACUGGGAUAACUCCGGGAAACCGGAGCUAAUACCGGAUAGUUCCUUGAACCGCAUGGUUCAAGGAUGAAAGACGGUUUCGGCUGUCACUUACAGAUGGACCCGCGGCGCAUUAGCUAGUUGGUGGGGUAAUGGCUCACCAAGGCGACGAUGCGUAGCCGACCUGAGAGGGUGAUCGGCCACACUGGGACUGAGACACGGCCCAGACUCCUACGGGAGGCAGCAGUAGGGAAUCUUCCGCAAUGGACGAAAGUCUGACGGAGCAACGCCGCGUGAGUGAUGAAGGUUUUCGGAUCGUAAAGCUCUGUUGUUAGGGAAGAACAAGUGCGAGAGUAACUGCUCGCACCUUGACGGUACCUAACCAGAAAGCCACGGCUAACUACGUGCCAGCAGCCGCGGUAAUACGUAGGUGGCAAGCGUUGUCCGGAAUUAUUGGGCGUAAAGGGCUCGCAGGCGGUUUCUUAAGUCUGAUGUGAAAGCCCCCGGCUCAACCGGGGAGGGUCAUUGGAAACUGGGAAACUUGAGUGCAGAAGAGGAGAGUGGAAUUCCACGUGUAGCGGUGAAAUGCGUAGAGAUGUGGAGGAACACCAGUGGCGAAGGCGACUCUCUGGUCUGUAACUGACGCUGAGGAGCGAAAGCGUGGGGAGCGAACAGGAUUAGAUACCCUGGUAGUCCACGCCGUAAACGAUGAGUGCUAAGUGUUAGGGGGUUUCCGCCCCUUAGUGCUGCAGCUAACGCAUUAAGCACUCCGCCUGGGGAGUACGGUCGCAAGACUGAAACUCAAAGGAAUUGACGGGGGCCCGCACAAGCGGUGGAGCAUGUGGUUUAAUUCGAAGCAACGCGAAGAACCUUACCAGGUCUUGACAUCCUCUGACAACCCUAGAGAUAGGGCUUUCCCUUCGGGGACAGAGUGACAGGUGGUGCAUGGUUGUCGUCAGCUCGUGUCGUGAGAUGUUGGGUUAAGUCCCGCAACGAGCGCAACCCUUGAUCUUAGUUGCCAGCAUUUAGUUGGGCACUCUAAGGUGACUGCCGGUGACAAACCGGAGGAAGGUGGGGAUGACGUCAAAUCAUCAUGCCCCUUAUGACCUGGGCUACACACGUGCUACAAUGGACAGAACAAAGGGCUGCGAGACCGCAAGGUUUAGCCAAUCCCAUAAAUCUGUUCUCAGUUCGGAUCGCAGUCUGCAACUCGACUGCGUGAAGCUGGAAUCGCUAGUAAUCGCGGAUCAGCAUGCCGCGGUGAAUAC